UACGUAGGUGGCAAGCGUUGUCCGGAUUUACUGGGCGUAAAGAGCGUGUAGGCGGGCUGGCAAGUCUGGUGUGAAAGCUCCCGGCUAAACUGGGAGAGUGCAUUGGAGACUGCCAAUCUAGAGGCUGUCAGAGGGUCGUGGAAUUCCGGGUGUAGUGGUGAAAUGCGUAGAGAUCCGGAGGAACACCAGUGGCGAAGGCGACGACCUGGGGCAGAACUGACGCUGAGACGCGAAAGCACGGGGAGCGAACGGG
rnacentral:rRNA from 1 species